UAUUUUCUCCCAUUUUGUAGGCUGUCUUUUUGUUUUGCUUCUGGUUUCCUUUGCUGUGCAAAAGCUUUUAAGUUUAAUUAGUGCCCAUUUGUUUAUUUUUGCUUUUAUUUCUAUUGCCUCAGUAGAUUGCCCUGGGAGAGUAUUGCUAAGAUUUAUAUCAGAUAAAGUUUUGCCUAUGUUUUCUUCUAAGAGGUUUAUAAUGUCUUGUCUUAUGUUUAAGUCUUUAAGCUAUUUUGAGUUUAUUUUUGUGUAUGGCAGGAGUGUUCCAACUUCAUUGAUUUGACAUGCAGCUGUCCAGCUUUCUCAACACCACUUGCUGAAGAGACUGUCUUUUCUCCAUUGUGUAUUAGUGCCUCGUUUGUCAAAGAUUGACUGUAGGCUUGUGGGUUUAUUUCUGGGCUCUUUAAUCUGUUCCAUUGGUACAUAUGUCUGUUUUUGUGCCAAUAACAUGCUGUUUUGAUUACUGUAGAUCUGUAGUAUUACCUGAAGUCUGGGAGAGUUAUU